GCUCCGGUCGUCUAGCUCGGCCAAAAAUAUAUUGGUCAUGGAUGGCGGAUUCUCAAUCCGUCGACACGGGUUCAAAUCCCGUCCGGAGCA
rnacentral:tRNA from 1 species